CGCGUAGACGGUUUUGUAAGUCAGAUGUGAAAUCCCUAGGGCUCAACCUGGGAACUGCAUUUGAGACUGCAUGGCUAGAGUAUGGAAGAGGGAAGUGGAAUUUCCGGUGUAGCGGUGAAAUGCGUAGAUAUCGGAAGGAACACCAGUGGCGAAAGCGACUUCCUGGUCCAAUACUGACGUUCAUGUGCGAAAGCGUGGGGAGCAAACAGGAUUAGAUACCCUGGUAGUCCACGCCAUAAACGAUGACAACUAGAUGUUGGGAGGGUCUGCCUCUCGGUGUCGCAGCUAACGCGUUAAGUUGUCCGCCUGGGGAGUACGGCCGCAAGGUUGAA
rnacentral:rRNA from 1 species